rnacentral:rRNA from 1 species
CCUACGGGUGGCAGCAGUAGGGAAUAUUCCGCAAUGGGGGAAACCCUGAAGCAGCAACGCCGCGUGGAGGAUGAAGGUUUUCGGGUUGGUAACUCCUUUUGUAAGAGGAGAUAAUGACGGUAUCAAACGAAUUAGCACCGGCGAACUCCGUGUCAGCAGCUGCGGUAAUCCGGGGGGGGCAAGCGUUACUCGGAAUCACUGGGCGUAAAGAGCGCGUAGGCGGGAUAGUAAGUCAGAUGUGAAAUCCUAUGGCUUAACAAGAGGACUGCAUUUGAAACUGUUAGUCUAGAGUAUGGGAGAGGAAGGUGGAAUUCUUGGUGUAGGGGUGAAAUGCGUAGAGAUCAAGAGGAAUACUCAUUGCGAAGGCGACCUGCUAGAACAUACCUGACGCUGAUGCGCGAAAGCGUGGGGAGCGAACAGGAUUAGAUACCCGAGUAGUC